UGAAGAAGUCUUGAGGGAAGACCAAAAAAAUGCCCCACAGCUGUCCAGAGGUUGGAAAAUAUAAAAAAUGGCAAUCUUUUGAGAGUUUCGCCAAAUGAUUCAGUGCUUCCCAAAAGCUCCCUUUUAAAUCCAAAAGUGUUCAUCCAUGAUCAGUCAAGACAGCCCUAAUAUUAUAUUUCAGAAUGUCUUUUUCCAACUUCUACUUUGUGGACAACAAAGAGAAAUGAUGUGUUCUGAUGGAAUGGCAUUCUCAGCCCCCCCCUUUUGUGAAAAUGUGGUUGCUUAAGGUGACUGCACAUUGCAACUGUGUGAUUUGCUGUUUACCAAUGAGCAAGCGAGGGGAGCCCCAAGUUUUUUAACCUAUCUAUCUUGAUGGGUAAAGUGAGCAUUUGACAGGAUAAUCACAUAAGUGGCUUGGCCCAAUGGCCAAUUUGAAUAAAGAAACGAUCCAGCUCGCAUCAGGGAGCACACUGAGAGUUGUGUGAAUUGGCCCUCGCUUUCUAGUGGAACACCUGCAAUAGCACAUCUCUCCGAAAUGCUGCCUGCCAAAAAAAUUGGGCCAUUUGACUCACUAAUGAAUGGAAAAAGGAAACAGACACAGAUCUUUGUGUGUGUGUAUAAACAACAAAGUCAAGACCAAUGAGGAGAACCAGCAUACCAUGGAAAUGAAGGGAUGGAGGGGUACCAAGAAUGGGCACUGCACAUGUUGUAUGACAACCGUAAUAAACAUUUCACACGGAGAAUUAUAGCUGGGUUAAGUCUCAAGGAAUGUCCCACAGAGAGAAUAGGUAAAGUGAUACCUUUCCCAAGAAUGAAAAACAAAAAUGGCAGUGAUGAAAAGCUAUGUACAGUAUGAUCUGCAUGGCUGUAUGGAUAUGAGGCAUGGAAUAUUGACAUGGAACAGAGGGGGCGGAAAUGGGACCAAUUCAGAUGUAGUUUUCUUAGGCAGAUGCUCAAAAUGACUAGUAUUAUUCUAUAGCAGUGUAACCCCUGAAGGCUUUCCGCUGCUGCAUUAACCAUUUUCUUCCACCCUAGCCUUUCCAGAUGUAGUGUAUGUCAACCAAGAGAGGUGAUACCUUCGAAGUUAUUUAUGUAUUAUCACAGGCUCCUUGACUUCUUCAGGAUCUGGCAUGGUUUCACAGCCCCAGACGCAAGUGGAGGAGGAAGGAAAAGGAACAGAUGAAAGGCUGGAAGGUGAGCAUCUCAGGGAUGAAGGAAGAAGGUCCUUCUCUUGUUACUCCAGAUGCCAGAGAGGGAGAAGCAGAUCUACCAGCUCUCUCCCUUGUCCCUCCUACAGAUCACAGAACCUCAUGUGCCAGAGAGAGGGACCCAACAGGAGGAGGCGGUAGCUGAGCUGGAGGAAGAGGGGCAGAACACAGUGUUGACACUGAGAACCAGGUGCUGCCUUCAAAAGUAGGAUCAGAUGCACCCAGCCAGGUGUAAUGUUUGUGUGUACGCAUGGCUGAACCAUAGAGAAAAAACAUAGGAUGAGUGAGCUCAUCCUACAUCAUCUUUAAUAGCUUGGUGGAAGAGGCAUGUCACCAGUCAGGACAUCUUCAUAGCUUCUGGUUAGGUAUGAAUCUCUUGCCUUGCUCAUAUACCGUGGAAUCUUGACUUCUAGAUCUUGU
rnacentral:lncRNA from 1 species